CUGGCUUUGGAAUGAAAGUCACUAGGGAGGUUUUAUAUUUUAUAGUGUUGUUCUGUUCCUAGGAGGAUGCUGUGACCCCUCAAUGGAUAUGCUAAUCAUCACAUCAGAAGCACAACUAGCUUCAAAUGGAAACCAGAUUGCACUUGGUCACUGACGAAGCAGGAGAUUAAACAAGCUACACUGUGUCUCUGGGAGAACAAAAAGCCAAAAGGCACAUUUAUCAACUCUGAAUCACAACACUGAGGAGAAGAAGACAAGCCAAGAUCAUCCUAUGCCUGGAAGAGAUCUCAGUUGUAUGGAAAUAAUCAGCCAAUAUGACCACCCACUUCUGGAAGAGCAUCUCUAAGACAGAGGGGGGACUGUGUCUCUUCACUUUCCAUACAUAGUUCUCAAUGUGUAUUUUUUUAAUUGAUUACUUUUUCCCCUUGAAGGAUUUCCUAAAAUCUAUUUAAUUUUACCUGACCUAUGUCCCAGAAAUUGUCUUUUUUCCUACUGUAAUUGCCAUUUAAAUUAAUAAAAAAUACUUGGGGAAAAAAGUUCAUCUUUCUAUAGCUUUAUAAAUAUGGAGCAAAUAUAUCUGUUCAUUUGAUGAAUGUCCAUUUAAACCAGCAUUGAGAGAAAUGAAUUAUCAUAUUCCACAAAAGAUCAUUGAAAAAAGACCAUUAAAUGAAUAAUAGUGGAUCCUUAAUGUUUCCCUAGAGGAAGAAGAAUAAUUUCAGAUGGCAGGAAAAUAACUUUUAUCUUUUGUUAAACAUUCAAACAAUUAUUUUACCAACACAUACCAUUGCAGAUAACCUCAAAAAGAGUAAAACAAAUUUUCAGAAUGCUAUACUCCUAUACUAAGGAGUGUUCCAGAGGCAACUGUGGUGUCUUUUAAUGCAAAAUUGUUCAGAGUAUAGGUUAGCCUCUCAUAUGGUGAGUAUAUAACCUAGGUUUUCUAUGACCAGCCUAAUAUAAACACUUCUGUCCCAUUCUAUGAAUAAGUGAACUUCAGCUUGUCAGACCAUGAUUUGGAUAUAAUGUCAUGAUACCCACUGACCAUAUGGAAAAUGCCUUCCCUUAGAAAUACUCUAACCUCCUAGUACAGUAGCGUAAAGAACUUAUACCAAAAUAUUAUACUAAUAAUUCUUAAUGAUAUU
ensembl:lincRNA